rnacentral:snoRNA from 1 species
UCGAUAGUUCAAUCCUAUCAAGAAGAGUUGUGCAAUCUUCCCGGGAGGUUUUUGUCUUUGCUACCUUGCUAGCAUAUAACCGAUUGGGGACAUUG